UCACUUGUUUUUCACCUCAUUUAAUCCUAUAAAUAUAUACACAGUCAUACACACUUGUAUCCAACUCCAACUCACUCAUUUUAGUUUUCUACAAGUUGCAAGAAAGAGCUAAGGAAGUAAGCAGAAGGUUAUCUCUAGAAUACAAGGAGCACUUGCCAUUUUAUGGAUAAGACAAAAUCUGAAAAGGAGUCUUCUGAGGAGUCGACUCGGGAGUCACUAAUUGCUCUCUCUCAUUGUUUGCCAGACUCACCAAAACCAUCAACAAAGACACUGAGCAGAGACCACUCAUUCAAAGAUAUCAAUGGUGACAGAGCAGAAUCUCAUAGGUCAAAGCUGAUCGCAAUAUCCAACAAGCAGUCCUCGGACAAGAAAGCUAGACCGGUGUCUCCUGGUGCCUAAUGUGCACACUGGUUUUUUGUGGAAACAAGGUUGUGCGACAAGGCUUGCUUUCACAAAAGAACAUUCUAAUGGUUAAGUGUUCGAUCAAAGAUUCAGAACUUUAAGCUUCAAUCUGUAUGUGAGUUGUCUUAUUGCAUCACCUGAUAUCUGUAUAGCAAUUUGAGCAACAAAAAAAUAUAGAUUAUCGGCAACUGGAUUUCUUUAACUUUUAUUCGAUCAAUGGAAGGUUGUCUUUGUCAUCUAA